AGAGUUUGAUCCUGGCUCAGGACGAACGCUGGCGGCGUGCCUAAUACAUGCAAGUCGAACGCACUGACGUCGACAGAAGGUGCUUGCACUGGAAGUUGAUUGACGUGAGUGGCGGACGGGUGAGUAACACGUGGGUAACCUGCCCUUAAGCGGGGGAUAACAUUUGGAAACAGAUGCUAAUACCGCAUAAAAGUUGAGAUCACAUGGUCUUAAUUUGAAAGACGGCCUUUGGCUGUCACUUAAGGAUGGACCCGCGGCGUAUUAGCUAGUUGGUGAGAUAAUAGCCCACCAAGGCGAUGAUACGUAGCCGACCUGAGAGGGUAAUCGGCCACAUUGGGACUGAGACACGGCCCAAACUCCUACGGGAGGCAGCAGUAGGGAAUCUUCCACAAUGGACGAAAGUCUGAUGGAGCAACGCCGCGUGAGUGAAGAAGGUUUUCGGAUCGUAAAACUCUGUUGUUGGAGAAGAACAGGGACUAGAGUAACUGUUAGUCCUUUGACGGUAUCCAACCAGAAAGCCACGGCUAACUACGUGCCAGCAGCCGCGGUAAUACGUAGGUGGCAAGCGUUGUCCGGAUUUAUUGGGCGUAAAGCGAGCGCAGGCGGUUUCUUAAGUCUGAUGUGAAAGCCUUCGGCUUAACCGAAGAAGUGCAUCAGAUACUGGGAAACUUGAGUGCAGAAGAGGAAAGUGGAACUCCAUGUGUAGCGGUGAAAUGCGUAGAUAUAUGGAAGAACACCAGUGGCGAAGGCGGCUUUCUGGUCUGUAACUGACGCUGAGGCUCGAAAGUAUGGGGAGCGAACAGAAGUAGAUACCCUGGUAGUCCAUACCGUAAACG
rnacentral:rRNA from 1 species